GACGAACGCUGGCGGCGUGCUUAACACAUGCAAGUCGAACGGAAAGGCCCUGCUUUUGUGGGGUUCUCGAGUGGCGAACGGGUGAGUAACACGUGAGUAACCUGCCCUUGACUUUGGGAUAACUUCAGGAAACUGGGGCUAAUACCGUAUAGGAGCUCCUGCUGCAUGGUGGGGGUUGGAAAGUUUCGGCGGGUGGGGAUGGAUUAGCGGCUUAUCAGCUUGUUGGUGGGGUAGUGGCUUACCAAGGCUUUGACGGGUAGCCGGCCUGGGAGGGUGACCGGCCACAUUGGGACUGAGAUAGGGCCCAGACUCCUAUGGGAGGCAGAAGUGGGGAAUAUUGCACAAUGGGAGGAAGCCUGAUGCAGAAACGCCGCGUGCGGGAAGACGGCUUUCGGGUUGUAAAACGCUUUCGCCUGUGACGAAGCGUGAGUGACGGUAAUGGGUAAAGAAGCACCGGCUAACUACGUG
rnacentral:rRNA from 1 species